GGAGUCUGGACCGUGUCUCAGUUCCAGUGUGGGGGACCUUCCUCUCAGAACCCCUAGACAUCGUCGGCACGGUGGGCCGUUACCCCGCCGUCUACCUAAUGUCUCGCGAGCCAAUCCACAACCCUCGUAAGUUUCAACUCCGGACGAUGCCGCCCUAAGUUUUAUGCGGUAUUAGACGACGUUUCCAUCGCUUAUCCCCCUGUUGUGGGUAUGUUGCUCACGCGUUACUCACCCGUGCGCCGGUGCCAUCAUCGGUUGCAAGCAACCGACAUGCUGCCCCUCGACUUGCAUGUGUUAAGCCUGUAGCUAGCGUUCAUC
rnacentral:rRNA from 1 species